rnacentral:rRNA from 1 species
UGCCAGCAGCCGCGGUAACACCGGGCGCGCAAGCGUCAUUCGGAAUUAUUGGGCGUAAAGGGCGCGCAGGCGGUCUUGUCCGUCAGGUGUGAAAGACCGCAGCUCAACUGCGGGAACGCGCUGGGAACUGUAUGACUGGAGUUCAAGAGGGGAAGCUGGAAUUCCUGGUGUAGGGGUGAAAUCUGUAGAUAUCAGGAAGAACAUCAGUGGCGAAGGCGAGCUUCUGGGCCAUAACUGACGCUGAUGUGCGAAAGCUAGGGGAGCAAACGGGAUUAGAUA